ACUCAUAUGCAUAAACAAUUAACUAUAUUGAAAAGAUUUCAGUUGUUAACCAAAUUUAUCUUAUCUGUUUUAAAUUUCUUUCAUUUUUUUCAGUUCGUUUGGAAUAUUUCAUUCCAUUUUCAGAUAUACAAAACAAACUAUCAAUAUAGCCAUAUAGGGUGGAAGCAUGGAGAAUGUUUCAGAGAUAAGUGCCUGCGCUGAUAUUAUAUUAGAACAUUCGAAAUGACAAUACAUCACUGAUCAACGUUGCAACUAGCUAGCAAACCAAUUAAUGCCCUCGUUUAUUAUUAGGUUAUUAAAGUUCUUGUAGUAGUAGUAGCUUCCUUUAAGAUUUUCUGCUUGUCUCACUUAAUACUGUAAAAAAGAGAAAAAAGAAAGAAUUAGUGGUUUAGAUUUUUGCUACAAGAUCAGUAUUUAAUCACAUAGAGAGAGAGUGAGAUGUGUUCUUUACCUUUCGCAGUUGGUGGAAGGGCUGAACUUGUAAGGGAGGUUAAUACCACAUUUAGAAGGCAAAGACAAAGCAUUGUCGAUGGUGCCAGGAGAGAGAGUAAG